UUCCGGUUGAUCCUGCCGGACCCGACUGCUAUCAGAGUGAGAUUAAGCCAUGCGAGUUAACGUAGCAAUACGUGGCGCACGGCUCAGUAACACGUAGUCAACAUGCCCAGAGGACGUGGAUAACCUCGGGAAGCUGAGCCUAAACCGCGAUAAGUGAGGAUUUCUGGAAUGGUUCCUGACUAAAAUCUAUAUGGCCUCUGGAUUGGACUGCGGCCGAUCAGGCUGUUGGUGAGGUAAUGGCCCACCAAACCUGUAACCGGUACGGGCUCUGAGAGGAGGAGCCCGGAGAUGGGCACUGAGACAAGGGCCCAGGCCCUAUGGGGCGCAGCAGGCGCGAAACCUCUGCAAUAGGCGAAAGCCUGACAGGGUUACUCUGAGUGACUUUCGCUAAGAAAGUCUUUUGGCACCUCUAAAAAGGGUGCAGAAUAAGGGGUGGGCAAGUCUGGUGUCAGCCGCCGCGGUAAUACCAGCACCCCGAGUGGUCGGGACGAUUAUUGGGCCUAAAGCAUCCGUAGCCGGUUCUGCAAGUCCCCCGUUAAAUCCAGCUGCUCAACAGAUGGGCCGCGGAGGAUACUACAGAGCUAGGAGGCAGGAGAGGCAAGCGGUACUCAGUGGGUAGGGGUAAAAUCCGUUGAUCCAUUGAAGACCACCAGUGGCGAAGGCGGCUUGCCAGAACGCGCUCGACGGUGAGGGAUGAAAGCUGGGGGAGCAAACCGGAUUAGAUACCCGGGUAGUCCCAG
rnacentral:rRNA from 1 species